rnacentral:rRNA from 1 species
GGGCCCGCACAAGCGGUGGAGCAUGUGGUUUAAUUCGACGCAACGCGAAGAACCUUACCUACACUUGACAUCCUCGGAACUUUCUAGAGAUAGAUUGGUGCCUUCGGGAACCGAGUGACAGGUGCUGCAUGGCUGUCGUCAGCUCGUGUCGUGAGAUGUUGGGUUAAGUCCCGUAACGAGCGCAACCCUUAUCCUUAAUUGCCAGCGGUUAGGCCGGGAACUCUAAGGAGACUGCCGAUGACAAAUCGGAGGAAGGUGGGGACGACGUCAAGUCAUCAUGGCCCUUACGUGUAGGGCUACACACGUGCUACAAUGGCCGGUACAAACGGUUGCGAACCCGCGAGGGGAAGCUAAUCCGAGAAAGCCGGUCGUAGUCCGGAUUGGGGUCUGCAACUCGACCCCAUGAAGUCGGAAUCGCUAGUAA